rnacentral:rRNA from 1 species
UACGGGGGGAGCAAGCGUUGUUCGGAUUUACUGGGCGUAAAGGGCGCGUAGGCGGUCAGCACAAGUCAGUUGUGAAAUCUCCGGGCUUAACUCGGAAAGGUCAACUGAUACUGUGCGACUAGAGUGCAGAAGGGGCAACUGGAAUUCUCGGUGUAGCGGUGAAAUGCGUAGAGAUCGGCAGGAACACCCGUGGCGAAAGCGGCCACCUAGCCCGCACCUGACGCUGAUGCGCGACAGCGUGGGGAGCGAACUGG